UACGUAGGUGGCGAGCGUUAUCCGGAAUUAUUGGGCGUAAAGGGUGCGUAGGCGGUUUAUUAAGUCUGUGGUGAAAGUGCGGGGCUCAACCCCGUAUGGCCACAGAAACUGAUCGACUAGAGUACAGGAGAGGGCAGUGGAAUUCCAUGUGUAGCGGUAAAAUGCGUAGAGUAUAUGGAGGAACACCGGUGGCGAAGGCGGCUGCCUGGCCUGUAACUGACGCUGAGGCACGAAAGCGUGGGGAGCAAAUAGG
rnacentral:rRNA from 1 species